GCANUCCGCCUGGGGAGUACGACCGCAAGGUUGAAACUCAAAGGAAUUGACGGGGGCCCGCACNAAGCGGUGGAGCAUGUGGUUUAAUUCGAAGCAACGCGAAGAACCUUACCAGGUCUUGACAUCCCGAUGCUAUUCUUAGAGAUAGGAAGUUACUUCGGUACAUCGGAGACAGGUGGUGCAUGGUUGUCGUCAGCUCGUGUCGUGAGAUGUUGGGUUANNNNNNNNNNNNGAGCGCAACCCUUAUUGUUAGUUGCCAUCAUUAAGUUGGGCACUCUAGCGAGACUGCCGGUAAUAAACCGGAGGAAGGUGGGGAUGACGUCAAAUCAUCAUGCCCCUUAUGACCUGGGCUACACACGUGCUACAAUGGUCGGUACAACGAGUUGCGAGCCGGUGACGGCAAGCUAAUCUCUGAAAGCCGAUCUCAGUUCGGAUUGGAGGCUGCAACUCGCCUCCAUGAAGUCGGAAUCGCUAGUAAUCGCGGAGCAGCACGCCGCGGUGAAUACGUUCCCGGGC
rnacentral:rRNA from 1 species